rnacentral:rRNA from 1 species
CAAUUAUUUAUAGCCUCUGGCUAUAGGAAAUUGUUAGUGGCAGACGGGUGAGUAAUGCGUAGGAAUCUACCUAGUAGUACGGAAUAGCCAUUAGAAAUGGUGGGUAAUACUGUAUAAUCCCCGAGGGGGAAAGAUUUAUCGCUAUUAGAUGAGCCUACGUUAGAUUAGCUAGUUGGUGAGGUAAUGGCUUACCAAGGCUAUGAUCUAUAGCUGGUCUGAGAGGACGAUCAGCCACACUGGAACUGAGAUACGGUCCAGACUCCUACGGGAGGCAGCAGUGGGGAAUAUUGGACAAUGGGCGAAAGCCUGAUCCAGCUAUGCCGCGUGAGUGAAGAAGGCCUUCGGGUUGUAAAACUCUUUCAAUAGGGAAGAUAAUGACGGUACCUAUAGAAGAAGUCCCGGCAAACUCUGUGC